GAUGAACGCUGGCGGCGUGCCUAAUACAUGCAAGUCGAGCGAACAGACGAGGAGCUUGCUCCUCUGACGUUAGCGGCGGACGGGUGAGUAACACGUGGAUAACCUACCUAUAAGACUGGGAUAACUUCGGGAAACCGGAGCUAAUACCGGAUAAUAUAUUGAACCGCGUGGGUCAAUGGUGAAAUACGGUGUUGCUGUCACUUAUCGAUGGAUCCGCGCCGUAUGGGCUGGUUGGUAAGGUAACGGCUUAGGAAGGCGACGAGGCGUGUCCGACCGGAGGGGGGGAUAGCCGACCCGGGAGGUGGGCCACGCACAUGAGUACUGAGGGAGGCCGCAGUCGGCAACCUUCGGCAACGGGCGAAAGCAUGACGGAGCAAGGGCGAGUGAGUGAUGACGGCCUCCGGAUCGUAAUACCCUGUUAUGAGUGAAGAACAAAUGUGUCAGUAACUAUGGACGUAUUGACGGUAAUUAAUAAGAAAGCACCGGCUAACUACGUG
rnacentral:rRNA from 1 species